rnacentral:misc_RNA from 1 species
AUACAACUUUUGGGAGGAGGUGAGUAUGAACUUGAUGUUGUGUUCUCAUUGUAUUAUUCGCUGAACCCUAUGAAUUUUUGUUAAUUUCAUUUUUCACCUUAAAUUGAAAUACAUUUGGUGCAUUCUCUUGUAUUAGUGAAAGCUUCCCCUAGUUUUACUUAUUUAUUUACAUUUUUAAAAAGCAUAUAGUUAAAAUUGUAGGGGAAUUUUUUUCCCCAUUUCUCUAGACCAAGCAUCAUAGUUGAUUGCACUGAGAAAGGCCUUAAUGGUAAACAUUCUAAGUUGUGCUCAUUUGGUUGUUUGUAGAAUAAAUGGUUGAUCAAAUUUC